rnacentral:rRNA from 1 species
UGGGGAAUAUUGGACAAUGGGCGCAAGCCUGAUCCAGCCAUGCCGCGUGAGUGAUGAAGGCCCUAGGGUUGUAAAGCUCUUUCACCGGUGAAGAUAAUGACGGUAACCGGAGAAGAAGCCCCGGCUAACUUCGUGCCAGCAGCCGCGGUAAUACGAAGGGGGCUAGCGUUGUUCGGAUUUACUGGGCGUAAAGCGCACGUAGGCGGACUAUUAAGUCAGGGGUGAAAUCCCGGGGCUCAACCCCGGAACUGCCUUUGAUACUGGUAGUCUUGAGUGCGAGAGAGGUGAGUGGAAUUCCGAGUGUAGAGGUGAAAUUCGUAGAUAUUCGGAGGAACACCAGUGGCGAAGGCGGCUCACUGGCUCGAUACUGACGCUGAGGUGCGAAAGCGUGGGAAGCAAACAGG